UACGAAGGGGGCUAGCGUUGCUCGGAAUCACUGGGCGUAAAGCGCACGUAGGCGGAUCUUUAAGUCAGGGGUGAAAUCCCAAGGCUCAACCUUGGAACUGCCUUUGAUACUGGGGAUCUCGAGUCCGGAAGAGGUGAGUGGAACUGCGAGUGUAGAGGUGAAAUUCGUAGAUAUUCGCAAGAACACCAGUGGCGAAGGCGGCUCUCUGGGACGGUACUGACGCUGAGACGCGAAAGCGUGGGGAGCGAACAGG
rnacentral:rRNA from 1 species